rnacentral:rRNA from 1 species
UACGGAGGGUGCAAGCGUUGUUCGGAUUUAUUGGGCGUAAAGCGCGUGUAGGCGGUUUCUUAAGUCUGAUGUGAAAGCCCUGGGCUCAACCCAGGAAGUGCAUUGGAUACUGGGAGACUUGAAUACGGGAGAGGGUAGUGGAAUUCCUAGUGUAGGAGUGAAAUCCGUAGAUAUUAGGAGGAACACCGGUGGCGAAGGCGGCUACCUGGACCGAUAUUGACGCUGAGACGCGAAAGCUAGGGGAGCAAACGGG